UACGUAGGGGGCUAGCGUUUUCCGGCUUUAUUGGGCGUAAAGAGCGUGUAGGCUGCCAGGUAGGUCUGCUGUGAAAACUCGAGGCUCAACCUCGAGACGUCGGCGGAAACCAUCUGGCUAGAGUCCGGAAGAGGAGAGUGGAAUUCCUGGUGUAGCGGUGAAAUGCGCAGAUAUCAGGAAGAACACCCGUGGCGAAGGCGGCUCUCUGGGACGGUACUGACGCUGAGACGCGAAAGCGUGGGGAGCGAACAGG
rnacentral:rRNA from 1 species